rnacentral:rRNA from 1 species
UACAGAGGUCCCAAGCGUUGUUCGGAUUCACUGGGCGUAAAGGGUGCGUAGGUGGUGGGGUAAGUCGGAUGUGAAAUCUCCAAGCUCAACUUGGAAACUGCAUUGGAAACUACCUUGCUAGAGGAUUUGAGGGGGGAUUGGAAUACUUGGUGUAGCAGUGAAAUGCGUAGAUAUCAAGUGGAACACCAGUGGCGAAGGCGAAUCCCUGGAAAAUACCUGACACUGAGGCACGAAAGCUAGGGGAGCAAACGGG